rnacentral:rRNA from 1 species
GAUGAACGCUGGCGGCGUGCCUAAUACAUGCAAGUCGAGCGAACGGACGAGAAGCUUGCUUUUCUGAUGUUAGCGGCGGACGGGUGAGUAACACGUGGAUAACCUACCUAUAAGACUGGGAUAACUUCGGGAAACCGGAGCUAAUACCGUAUAAGAUUUUGAACCGCAUGGUUCAAAAGUGAAAGACGGUCUUGCUGUCACUUAUAGAUGGAUCCGCGCUGCAUUAGCUAGUUGGUAAGGUAACGGCUUACGAAGGCAACGAGGCAUAGCCGACGUGAGAGGCUGAUAGCCCACCCUGGAGCUGAGACACGGUCAAGGCUACUAAGAGACGGACCAGUCGGGAAUCUUCCGCAAUGGGCGAAAGCCUGACGGAGCAACGCCGCGUGUGUGAUGGCGGUCCUCGGAUCGUGAAAAUCUGUUAUUAGGGAAGAACCUCUGUGUAAGUAAAUGUGCACAUCUUGACGGUAACUAAUAAGAAAGCAACGGCUAACUACGUG